ensembl:lncRNA
GUAUGAUUUUACCAUCAAAACGUAGCCAUGGCUGUCCUCUUUCAUCCAAUGUGUUUACUAUUGUCCUAGGUGUUAUGGUUCUUUCAUAAAUGUCACCAAUGCACAGCCUCCUCCCUCCAACUCUUCCAUAGACUCCAAUGUUAAAAUGUCUCAGAAGGUUCGUUUGAAAAUCAGAAGAGCAUGGUGUCUUUCCACUGUCACCACGUCCAUAUAAUAAACUCCACAGGCAUGAAAACUGAGAAUUCAGUAGACUAGAAGCUGCUGUCACUCACGGUGAAAGAAUUUUGUCAAUACGACUUUUACUUUUCAUUUGGGAACGAUUUGUUUCGGCCUGACUUUUCUGUUCAUUUUAAGCAGCAAAAGUGAGGUGCAUGUCUGUGUACGUGUGUAUGGAGCCAUUGGGUGCGGUCACUAUAGCAACCAGGCUCACACCUGCCUGCUUAACGAGCUCUGCCUGCCACUGUACCAAGAUUCAUCUUAAGCACUUCUCUUUCAACUGCUGCUGUGUCCACAGUGUUAAAGCCAUCAUUUUACCCUCAAAACGUCGCCAUCGUUGUUCUUUUUCCAACAUCUUGUCUUUCAAAGCUCAGAGAUGUAAACUUUUUAAACUGUGUGGGUCCAAGUGGAGGGAUCACAUUUGAGUCAUUCAGUGAUUCAAAGAAUAUGACCUUUUAAUAUUCAUUCAGAUGUUUUCUGACUCUAAAUGUUCUUUUCUCAUUUCUUAGGGUUUUCUAAUUUAUAUUUAAAACAUUUUCAGUUUUUUUCCAACUCCUUCUUCUGUGUAACCUUCAGCUUUUAGCAGUUCAGCACCUUUGUUUUCAGGUUAAAUUCGUUUUUUUUUUUUGUUUUUUUUAAUCUCAUUCAAUAUUUUUAACUCAAAAUUCAGCAAUUAAUUCAUUUCAGUGCAUACAUUCAGAUUCAAGCAUUCACACUGCAGUUUCUUCAGAAAAUGCACUUUCUAGUUAUUAGUGUGAAUGCUUGAAAAGCAUUCACAGUAUUGUUAUUCGAAUCUUUAUUAUUAUUAUUAUUAUAUUUUAUUUUUCCGUACGUUUUUUGUAAGCCUACUCCUUCAAAACCGUUCAACUUAGAAAAACCAUUCAAACACCGUUAGAUUCCUAUUCUUUUGGACAACACUGCUUCUAUUUUUCAUAUUUUUAACAUUUAUAUUUUUAAUUUUAUUCAACUUUAUUCAACAAAAAUUUAUAAUGUAUUUCAAUGGGGAGACCCUUCAAAUCCUCAUUCAACUUACUCAUUUUUAAACUCUUACUACUUCCACAUACAUUGACAUAGAGCCACCAUUCAAACUUUAAAACGAAGACAAGACAUUCAACUAUUCAACUUGUAUUUAUCUUUUCAAUAUCUUUUAUACUUUUUCUUCAGUUCCAGUUUAAGUUUCAUGAUGUUUUUUCACCCGUUUCAGAGUUUAUAAUGGGUGUGUAUGGGACGGAAUGUUGGGGCUAGAGUGAGGCAGCUCAACUGCUAGAGUGAGAGGAGCAAAAAAAUUAAUCUUAAAAUCUUUUUUAAAACUGCUGCUGUGUCCGCAGCGUUUGCUCUACAGGUAUGAUUUUACCCUCAAAACGUAGCCAUCGCUGUCCUCUUUCAUCCAAUGUGUUUACUAUUGUCCUAGGUGUUAUGGUUCUUUCAUAAAUGUCACCAAUGCACAGCCUCCUCCCUCCAACUCUUCCAUAGACUCUAAUGUUAAAAUGGCUCAGAAGGUUCGUUUGAAAAUCAGAAGAGCAUGGUGUCUUUCCACUGUCACCACGUCCAUAUAAUAAGCUCCACAGGCAUGAAAACUGAGAAUUAGGUAGACUAGACAUUGCUGUCGCUCACGGUGAAAGAAUUUUGUCAAUACGACUUUUACUUUUCAUUUGGGAGCGAUUUGUUUCGGCCUGACUUUUCUGUUCAUUUUAAGCAGCAAAAGUGAGGCGCAUGUCUGUGUACGUGUGUAUGGAGCCAUUGGGUGCGGUCACUAUAGCAACCAGGCUCACACCUGCCUGCUUAGCGAGCUCUGCCUGCCACUGUACCAAGAUUCAUCUUAAACACUUCUCUUUCAACUGCUGCUGUGUCCACAGUGUUACAGCCAUCAUUUUACCCUCAAAUUGUCGCCAUUAUUGUUCUCUUUCCAACACCGUAUCUUUCAAAGCUCAGGCAUUUAAACUUUUUAAACUGUGUGGAUCAAAGUGGAGGGAUCACAUUUGAGUCAUUCAGUGAUUCAAAGAAUAUGACCUUUUAAUAUUCAUUCAGAUGUUUUCUGACUCUAAAUGUUCUUUUCUCAUUUCUUAGGGUUUUCUAAUUUACAUUUAAAACAUUUUCAGUUUUUUUCCAACUCCUUCUUCUGUGUAACCUUCAGCUUUUAGCAGUUCAGCACCUUUGUUUUCAGGUUAAAUUUGAUUUUUUGAUUUUUUUUUUAAUUUCAUUCAAUAUUUUUAACUCAAAAUUCAGCAAUUAAUUCAUUUCAGUGCAUACAUUCAGAUUCAAGCAUUCACACUGCAGUUUCUUCAGAAAAUGCACUUUCUAGUUUUAUAUAUAAUCCCUUCUUAAUUCCUGUUGACUGCAGUCUACUUAGCAAUAUAAGCAAAGGUAUUACACAUAGAAAACACAGAGAAGCAUUGGAAAUCACUUUUUGGGAGACAGAGGGGAGAGAGAAGAGUGCUGUCAUGUGAAGGAG